AUGAGCACAGUCCAACCAGAGCUCUAUGCAUACAAUAUUACCAAUAGCAUGUUGGAACGGAGCAACCCCAGAAGCUGCAUAUUUGGAAUCUUGUUUGAAAGGGUGAUUGCAAACAUGUCAUCCCGGUGUCCUCCCCGAACAUCCUUCUCAACUGCCCCUGAUGCAUGCAUAGCUGUUCUCUGCUGUCCAUUCCACCAGAUGGCCUCAAAGCUAACAGACAGAAAAAGAAAAUAGCGAAUGCCUUGCAGGUGUGUGGUGUGUAUGUGUAGGAGAAGCCAGUAAUUACCCCUUGCUGAUGGAGCUGACCAAACACAGUCUUUCCCAUGGCAACAGAAAACAUAAAAAAAUAAAAUUUAAAAAAUUGGAGGUUACAUAAUUGCCGUCCCUGGAGGAGGAGGAAUGUGGGGAUCAUGGAGUUUCUUGUGGCUUUUGGUUGAAGGUGUUGGUGAAGAUACAGAGGUCCUGCUGAGUAGAUGAACAGGAUGCUGUUGCUUGCUUUGAAGUGUCUGGAAAACUCCUGAGUUCCAGUGAAAAGCUUAUUACGAAGAAGAAGGAAAGGUGGCUAGAAAAUGGGAAGGCAGUUCUGGGACCAGUGGGAGAAAAUUAAGGUGAGGACAUCGAAGAUUUGUUCAGGACCAGGUAGCUGAUGAGAGAGAGAGAAGAAAGAGCCCAACUGUCAGCCCAGGACCUCCUCCUCCUUGCUCAGGAGCCACCACACAUGCAACUCUAUGGGGCCUCACUUUGUUUCUCUCUGGAACUCUCUACUCUUUUUGCAGAUUAUUUGUUAGGACCUCUUACACAAUUUUCUUUUUAAUUUAAGGCCAUGUUGCCAUGAAGCUUUGUCGUGAUAUAUUUAAAUAAAAUAAUCUUUUGUUAUCUAG